AUUAACGUGAGGGGAAUCUGAAGGAAGGUGGAGGCAAAUCUCUGGUCUGACGAACAGAAAUCACAUAAGGCUAUUAUUGAGGACAAGACUGCCAGACAAGUCAAAGUCCAAUAACUACUCGGAAUUAAUGAUAGUAAAUGUGGCAGAUAUAUGGAGAGAAAGAAACGUGU
rfam:Firmicutes bacterium CAG:227 genomic scaffold, scf213